rnacentral:rRNA from 1 species
CCUACGGGGCGCAGCAGUGGGGAAUAUUGGACAAUGGGCGAAAGCCUGAUCCAGCCAUGCCGCGUGUGUGAAGAAGGCCUUCGGGUUGUAAAGCACUUUCAGUGGGGAAGAAAGCCUUGGGGCUAAUACCCUCGAUGAAGGACAUCACCCACAGAAGAAGCACCGGCUAACUCCGUGCCAGCAGCCGCGGUAAUACGGAGGGUGCGAGCGUUAAUCGGAAUUACUGGGCGUAAAGCGCGCGUAGGCGGUCUGAUAAGCCGGUUGUGAAAGCCCCGGGCUCAACCUGGGAACGGCAUCCGGAACUGUCAGGCUAGAGUGCAGGAGAGGAAGGUAGAAUUCCCGGUGUAGCGGUGAAAUGCGUAGAGAUCGGGAGGAAUACCAGUGGCGAAGGCGGCCUUCUGGACUGACACUGACGCUGAGGUGCGAAAGCGUGGGUAGCAAACAGGAUUAGAUACCCCAGUAGUC